AGAAUACCGUUGCCAUUGCCAGGGUCAGGUAGGCAGUGCGCUGUAAGCUGGCUGCUUGGCUCAAUUUAGCAGUCAGGACUGCCCUGCCACUUGCUCCUGGACUCGUUCAUCUUCUUUAAC
rnacentral:pre_miRNA from 15 species